GACGAACGCUGGCGGUGUGCUUAACACAUGCAAGUGGUGCGACGAACCAGAGCUUGCUCUGGGGCAAAGCCGCGAACGGGUGAGUAACACGUGGGUAAUCUACCCCGAUGACCGGGACAACCCGAGGAAACUCGGGCUAAUACCGGAUGUGGUACGGAGACAUAAGUCUCUUUACUAAAGGUAGCUUCGGCUUCCGCAUUGGGAGGGGCCCGCGGCCCAUUAGCUAGUUGGUGGGGUCAAGGCCUACCAAGGCAACGAUGGGUAGCUGGUCUGAGAGGACGAUCAGCCACACUGGGACUGAGACACGGCCCAGACUCCUACGGGAGGCAGCAGUGGGAAUCUUGCGCAAUGCGCGAAAGCGUGACGCAGCAACACCGCGUGAGGGAAGACGGCCUUAGGGUUGUAAACCUCUUUCAGAUGGGACGAAGGUGAUGCGGUGAAUAGCCGAUGUCAUUGACGGUACCGUCAGAAGAAGCUCCGGCUAACUACGUGCCAGCAGCCGCGGUAAU
rnacentral:rRNA from 1 species